GACGUAGGGCGCGAGCGUUGUCCGGAUUUAUUGGGCGUAAAGAGCUCGUAGGCGGCUUGUCGCGUCGUCCGUGAAAACCUGUGGCUCAACUGCAGGCUUGCGGUCGAUACGGGCAGGCUGGAGUUCGGUAGGGGAGACUGGAAUUCCUGGUGUAGCGGUGAAAUGCGCAGAUAUCAGGAGGAACACCGGUGGCGAAGGCGGGUUGCUGGGCUGAUACUGACGCUGAGGCGCGAAAGCCAGGGGAGCGAACGGG
rnacentral:rRNA from 1 species